AGCUUGCUCUUCUUGGAUGAGUUGCGAACGGGUGAGUAACGCGUAGGUAACCUGCCUUGUAGCGGGGGAUAACUAUUGGAAACGAUAGCUAAUACCGCAUAACAAUGGAUGACACAUGUCAUUUAUUUGAAAGGGGCAAUUGCUCCACUACAAGAUGGACCUGCGUUGUAUUAGCUAGUAGGUGAGGUAACGGCUCACCUAGGCGACGAUACAUAACCGACCUGAGAGGGUGAUCGGCCACACUGGGACUGAGACACGGCCCAGACUCCUACGGGAGGCAGCAGUAGGGAAUCUUCGGCAAUGGGGGCAACCCUGACCGAGCAACGCCGCGUGAGUGAAGAAGGUUUUCGGAUCGUAAAGCUCUGUUGUAAGUCAAGAACGAGUGUGAGAGUGGAAAGUUCACACUGUGACGGUAGCUUACCAGAAAGGGACGGCUAACUACGUGCCAGCAGCCGCGGUAAUACGUAGGUCCCGAGCGUUGUCCGGAUUUAUUGGGCGUAAAGCGAGCGCAGGCGGUUUGAUAAGUCUGAAGUUAAAGGCUGUGGCUCAACCAUAGUUCGCUUUGGAAACUGUCAAACUUGAGUGCAGAAGGGGAGAGUGGAAUUCCAUGUGUAGCGGUGAAAUGCGUAGAUAUAUGGAGGAACACCGGUGGCGAAAGCGGCUCUCUGGUCUGUAACUGACGCUGAGGCUCGAAAGCGUGGGGA
rnacentral:rRNA from 1 species